rnacentral:rRNA from 1 species
GAUUAACGCUGGCGGCAUGCCUAAUACAUGCAAAUCGAACGAAGCCUUUUGGCUUAAUGGUGAACGGGUAAGUAACACGUAUCCAAUCUACCCUUAAGUUUGGGAUAACUAGUCGAAAGAUUAGCUAAUACCGGAUAAUAACAUUCACAUGCAUGAGUGAAUGUGGAAAGUUGCGUUUGCAACGCUUUUGGAUGAGGGUGCGACGUAUCAGAUAGUUGGUGAGGUAACGGCUCACCAAGUCAUUGACGCGUAGCUGCACUGAGAGGUGGAACAGCCACAAUGGGACUGAGACACGGCCCAU